GACGAACGCUGGCGGCGUGCUUAACACAUGCAAGUCGAACGGAAAGGCCCUGCUUUUGUGGGGUGCUCGAGUGGCGAACGGGUGAGUAACACGUGAGUAACCUGCCCUUGACUUUGGGAUAACUUCAGGAAACUGGGGCUAAUACCGGAUAGGAGCUCCUGCUGCAUGGUGGGGGUUGGAAAGUUUCGGCGGUUGGGGAUGGACUCGCGGCUUAUCAGCUUGUUGGUGGGGUAGUGGCUUACCAAGGCUUUGACGGGUAGCCGGCCUGAGAGGGUGACCGGCCACAAUGGGACUGAGAGACGGCCCAGACUCCUACGGGAGGCAGCAGUGGGGAAUAUUGCACAAUGGGCGGAAGCCUGAUGCAGCAACGCCGCGUGCGGGAUGACGGCCUUCUGGUUGUGAACCGCUUUCGCCUGUGACGAAGCGUGAGUGACGGUAAUGGGUAAAGAAGCACCGGCUAACUACGUG
rnacentral:rRNA from 1 species